GGCUCUGAUUCUGGCGGAGGGCCAUGUCCAUUAGCACACUACUGUCAGGCUGGCAGUGCCACCCCAAUGCCUUGCCCAGCAGGCACAUAUGCCAACAUGACAACCCAGGUCAACUGCAACCUCUGCCAUGCAGGCUACUACUGCCCUGAAAGAACCAGCAUCUACUCCAAAUUCCCCUGCCCAUCUGGAUUCUAUUGCCCAGAUGGUACCAAGUAUGCCACACAGUUCCCAUGCCCCCGAGGUUAUUACAACCCAGAGCCCAUGACCCAUAGUCUGGACAGCUGCUUGCCCUGCCCCCCCGGUCACUACUGUGAAAAGGAGAGACUGACCACAGUGUCUGGGAAGUGCAAGGCUGGUUGGUUUUGUGUAUCUGCUGCCUGGACAUCACAGCCAUUCGAUCUGGAUAACUACACCAACGCAAACUGUCUGUGUCCUGCCACCUCCACUGGGGGGCGCUGCCAAGAGGGCUUCUUCUGCCCCACAGGAAGCUCUGAGCCCCAGCCAUGCCCACCUGGCACUUUCUGCAACACUACCAGCCUGGCAUUGCCCAGUGGCCCCUGUACUCCUGGCUACUACUGCAUAGGAGGUGCAGUUCACCCAAAACCACUUGAUGGCAUCACAGGCAACAUCUGUCCUCCAGGGACCUACUGUGGUAUUGUUAUAUUGGCACUAGCACAGUAUACAAUACUGACACAAUUACAUAAA
rnacentral:lncRNA from 1 species